rnacentral:rRNA from 1 species
GAUGAACGCUGGCGGCGUGCCUAAUACAUGCAAGUCGAGCGAAUGGAUUAAGAGCUUGCUCUUAUGAAGUUAGCGGCGGACGGGUGAGUAACACGUGGGUAACCUGCCCAUAAGACUGGGAUAACUCCGGGAAACCGGGGCUAAUACCGGAUAAUAUCUUGAACUGCAUGGUUCAAAAUUGAAAGGCGGCUUCGGCUGUCACUUAUGGAUGGACCCCCGUCGCAUUAGCUAGUUGGUGAGGUAACGGCUCACCAAGGCAACGAUGCGUAGCCGACCUGAGAGGGUGAUCGGCCACACUGGGACUGAGACACGGCCCAGACUCCUACGGGAGGCAGCAGUAGGGAAUCUUCCGCAAUGGACGAAAGUCUGACGGAGCAACGCCGCGUGAGUGAUGAAGGCUUUCGGGUCGUAAAACUCUGUUGUUAGGGAAGAACAAGUGCUAGUUGAAUAAGCUGGCACCUUGACGGUACCUAACCAGAAAGCCACGGCUAACUACGUGCCAGCCGCCGCGGUAA